UUCCUUCUUCUUCUUCUUCGGG
rnacentral:sRNA from 1 species